rnacentral:rRNA from 1 species
GACGUAGGGGGCCAGCGUUGUUCGGAAUUACUGGGUGUAAAGGGUUCGUAGGCGGUGCGGCAAGUUGGGAGUGAAAUCUCUGGGCUUAACCCAGAGGCUGCUUCCAAAACUGCUGUGCUUGAGUGUGGGAGAGGCGCGUGGAAUUGCAGGUGUAGCGGUGAAAUGCGUAGAUAUCUGCAGGAACACCCGUGGCGAAAGCGGCGCGCUGGACCACUACUGACGCUGAGGAACGAAGGCCAGGGGAGCAAACGGG